rnacentral:rRNA from 1 species
AACGAGCGCUGGCGGCAUGCCUAACACAUGCAAGUCGAACGAGACCUUCGGGUCUAGUGGCGCACGGGUGCGUAACGCGUGGGAAUCUACCCUUGGGUUCGGAAUAACAGUUAGAAAUGACUGCUAAUACCAGAUGAUGACGUAAGUCCAAAGAUUUAUCGCCCAAGGAUGAGCCCGCGUAAGAUUAGCUUGUUGGUGGGGUAAUGGCCUACCAAGGCGACGAUCUUUAGCUGGUCUGAGAGGAUGAUCAGCCACACUGGGACUAAGACACGGCCCAGACUCCUACGGGAGGCAGCAGUGGGGAAUAUUGGACAAUGGGCGAAAGCCUGAUCCAGCAAUGCCGCGUGAGUGAUGAAGGCCUUAGGGUUGUAAAGCUCUUUUACCAGGGAUGAUAAUGACAGUACCUGGAGAAUAAGCUCCGGCUAACUCCGUGCCAGCCGCCGCAGUAA